GAAAUAUCUGGAUUAUGACAGCAUGGUUCACCAUGAUUUUCUGGAUAGAGAUGCUAGUAGAUGGAUGAUUUAUAACCUGGUAUUUAGUCAGGGUACUUGAGAGACUAUUACUUUGCCUGCUCCUUCUUUGUUCGAUCUUCAUGCAGGCAGGUACACUAUUAUGCCCUCGGACAUCUACGCAUAUUGGGGCUUGGCCCAACCAUAGGUGCCCGUGCCCGAGCCGCCAGUCGAGUACCAGACGCCAGUUUAUCAGUGGGAGCCACAGGAGCUCACACAGC
rnacentral:lncRNA from 1 species